GACGAACGCUGGCGGCGUGCUUAACACAUGCAAGUCGAACGGUAAGGCCCUUCGGGGUACACGAGUGGCGAACGGGUGAGUAACACGUGGGUGAUCUGCCCUGCACUUCGGGAUAAGCCUGGGAAACUGGGUCUAAUACCGGAUAGGACUCCUGCCUGCAUGGGUGGGGGUGGAAAGCUUUUGCGGUGUGGGAUGGGCCCGCUGCCUAUGAGCUUGUUGGUGGGGUGAUGGCCUACCAAGGCGACGACGGGUAGCCGGCCUGAGAGGGUGACCGGCCACACUGGGACUGAGAUACGGCCCAGACUCCUACGGGAGGCAGCAGUGGGGAAUAUUGCACAAUGGGCGCAAGCCUGAUGCAGCGACGCCGCGUGAGGGAUGACGGCCUUCGGGUUGUAAACCUCUUUCAGCACAGACGAAGCGCAAGUGACGGUAUGUGCAGAAGAAGGACCGGCCAACUACGUGCCAGCAGCCGCCGCAG
rnacentral:rRNA from 1 species